rnacentral:lncRNA from 1 species
AGAUUAUUUUCAUACCUUAGUCACAGUUGGGGAAUUUGUACUGGAGUAAAAUUCCACUGUCAAAUGUGAAAAAGCCAUCAGUCAACUACCUUGUUGGUUCAGUGUCAAAUUUGUGCCAUGCAUAAAGCCUGUGAAGACAUAGGUGUGUAUGUGAGGAAACUCAAGUCAUACCCCAGUGCUUGAUCACAUCGAGGAAACUAUACCCAGAAAUAGUCUAUACCCAAGAAAUUAUUUGGAUAUAGUAAAUGUGGCAGAUCUGUGAGCAGGAGUCCAUCUGUCAUCAGAAUGUACCAGAUGUGAGUCUGAUUGUUAUGCAAAUGCUAAGAUCAAAACAUCUGCACCAGAUGAGACUGAUAUAAUGCAAACGGUGAAAUUUAACCACUCUAUUUUCCAGGCCUUAUCCAGUAUCAAAGUAUUAGAAAAUGCUUACUUCUCUGUGUAAUUAUUACUAUUUAGUCUCAGUCUUUUUUACUGCUGAAUAACUGAAUCCAGAAGAUAAUUGGGAAACGAAGUCAUUUUCUCACAGUAUCCUUUAAUAAGUAUUCUAAGAAGGUACAAGUAUUUUAUUAUAGAACUCAUUUGAGUGAAUUUAUUUUAAUUUGGCCGAUACACAUUAAAACAUUUUUCUUCUUUGAAAUGGAUUCUUAUUCACAGUUUACCUAGAAUGCUGUUAAUGUGCCAGUGUUGACAUAGCUUCUGGAGAGUAGCUCAAUGAGCCUUCUCUGUUCUGGCCAGAGUACUCUCCAAAGGAGACUCAGGCCUAUUCUUUUCUGAGGACCCUACAGACUAUUGUUUCUAUAGCCACACCCUUGGCUUCCUGUUGAUUUCUGCGUUCUCUUAGGCAUCCUUAAAUGAUGUUCUGGUGUUAGCUUCUCACCAGCUGAUAAAGAGUUACUUCCACAUCAGCCAUCCAUACGUUUGGAGGAUUCAGUCUUCCUGAGUUUGUGGCAGGCACCCAAACAUUUGCAAGUGAUGUCCAAGUUUUUAGCUGCCUUGUUUGCAUCCACAGCCCUCUAAUGAGAUGACAAGGACAUCAGGGAGCCAGUAAGACUCCUGUUGGCCUAGCUACAUUCAUUCAGUGCCUACUUUGCAUGUAUGUGUAUGUUUAGAAUUCUUUUAUAUGCCUAUAUUGAAGGCCAACAAAAUGCUCAGGUCUGCUUUUGAUAGGGAAACAAAGAACACACAAAUCAGAAUAAGGAUAUACAGCCUUCCAAUAAAGAUAUUGCUGUUAGUGAUGUAUCUAGACAGUAUUUCAAGAGAGUGGCAGGUCCGUUCCUGGUAAAACCUUAAUCAUUAGGAUUGCUUCUUUAUCUGUUCCCUCCUCCACUCCCUUCAUCAAGCCAGGGUAGUAUUUUGAAGCAUAAAGCUUUGUGCAUAAUUAUUUGUGCAUUGCCAUACUUUUGUGUUGGGAUGCAGUCUUUGUUGCCCAGGCUGGUCUUGAAUUCCUGGGUUCACACAAUUUCCUGCCUCCCAAAUAGCUGGGAUUAUAGGCAUGCGCUCCUGUGCCUGGAUUUUAUUUUUGUAUUUUAAUAGAAUCUGCAGGCCAUAUAAAGGAUCAUGGCUCUUUUGAUUUACAGAAGUGGUCACAGGUGUUGAGUCCAGGGUCCCUGCCCGAUGCCACAGAGUUCAUGAUUUUUUACAUGAUGUGAAGCAUUUUCAUCUUAAAAUUUGUAACAUCUUGUGAAUAAGAAAAGUGUUAUUUCAAAUUCUAGUUGUCAAUCAAGCAGUUGAGGCUUUCAUAGUUCAGAUGUCAUAAUGUUCACUAGGGAUCCUCAACCAGUAUAUAAAAUAUGCUGCUCACUGUAAAUCUUGUGGCUGACCUCUAGGGUAGUCCCACCACUGUAUUUUACUUCUUUGCCAUCAGCAAGCGUAGUGUCUCAUCAGGACAAGAAAAUCAACAUAUAUCAAAUUGAUCUAAAUGUAAAAGCAAAUGAAAAAUGCAUGGUUUUUUGUCCCUGUCGAACAUGUAUAUUCUUACUUAUAGAGACCAAUAGUCACUUCCAGUGACUGAGGCAGAGGAUUUGAUUCAUUCCUAAGUAGCAGAAUCUGUAAAAACCCCACGUAUGCAUUUGGGUUUGGAACGUGCUUUUGUACUUCUACUUGAAUAAAGGUGUGUUCAGUGCUCGU